GACGAACGCUGGCGGCGUGCUUAACACAUGCAAGUCGAACGAGUGGCGAACGGGUGAGUAACACGUGGGUGACCUGCCCUGCACUUCGGGAUAAGACUGGGAAACUGGGUCUAAUACCGGAUAGUGGGGGAUGGGCCGGCGGCAUAUCAGCUUGUUGGUGGGGUAAUGGCUACCAAGGGGCGACGUCUAGGCGGCCUGAGAGGGUGGUCGGCCACAUUGUGACUGAGACACGGCCCAGACUCCUCCGGGAGGCAGCAGUGGGGAAUAUUGGACAAUGGGCGAAAGCCUGAUCCAGCCAUGCCGCGUGUGUGAAGAAGGUCUUCGGAUUGUAAAGCACUUUAAGUUGGGAGGCGUUACCAACAGAAUAAGCACCGGCUAACUUCGUGCCAGCAGCCGCGGUAAUAC
rnacentral:rRNA from 1 species